rnacentral:rRNA from 1 species
AGAGUUUGAUCCUGGCUCAGGAUUAACGCUGGCGGCGUGCAUAACACAUGCAAGUCGAACGAUGAAACUUUAAUGAACCCUUCGGGGAGAAUUAAAGCGGAUUAGUGGCGAACGGGUGAGUAACGCGUGAGUAACCUGCCUUACACAAGGGGAUAGCCUUUGGAAACGAAGAAUAAUACCCUAUAAAACCAUAAAAGCACAUGCAAUUAUGGUCAAAGUAUUAGCGGUGUAAGAUGGACUUGCGUCUGAUUAGCUAGUUGGUGAGAUAAAAGCCCACCAAGGCAACGAUCAGUAGCCGGCUUGAGAGAGUGUACGGCCACAUUGGGACUGAGACACGGCCCAGACUCCUACGGGAGGCAGCAGUGGGGAAUUUUGCACAAUGGGGGAAACCCUGAUGCAGCGACGCCGCGUGAUUUAGAAGGCCUUCGGGUUGUAAAAAUCUUUUGUAUAGGAAGAAAAUGACAGUACUAUACGAAUAAGGUCCGGCUAAUUACGUGCCAGCAGCCGCGGUAAUACGUAAGGACCGAGCGUUGUCCGGAAUCAUUGGGCGUAAAGGGUACGUAGGCGGCUAGAAAAGUUAAAAGUCAAAGGCUAUAGCUCAACUAUAGUAAGCUUCUAAAACUAUUUAGCUUGAGAGAUGGAAGGGAAAGUGGAAUUCCUAGUGUAGCGGUGGAAUGCGCAGAUAUUAGGAGGAAUACCGGUGGCGAAGGCGACUUUCUGGCCAUUUUCUGACGCUGAGGUACGAAAGCGUGGGUAGCAAACAGGAUUAGAUACCCUGGUAGUCCACGCCGUAAACGAUGAGUGUUAGGUGUCUGGAGUCAAAUCUGGGUGCCGCAGCAAACGCAUUAAACACUCCGCCUGGGGGAGUACGCACGCAAGUGUGAAACUCAAAGGAAUUGACGG